AACUUGCAGUAUCAAGCCUGCAGGUAUUAUUUUUCCCAAGUUUUCUCUGAAGUGUGUACAAGAAUAGUCAGAAUGAUAAAAAGCCUUCCAGUGUCUAUUGCAUAUUACAAAAAUGCUUCAAUAAAUUAAUACGAUUAUAUUCUGGAACACAUUAUUAGCUGUUUUAGCAAAGGAAAAUUACUAGAACACCCAAGAUUUAGCUUAGUUAGCACUUGAGCCUCUACUGUUUACAAAAAGAAUAUUGGGGAUUUCUUUAACAGAUUCAUUAUAUAUAGAGAUGAAAUGGAAUUAUUGUCCAUAUAAAAGUGACCUCUAAUUAGGAUAAACCCUAAAACAAGUUUUCCUCCUCCUAUCGUCUUCUCUGACUCUCCCCUUUUUGAUUCCCAUGGCUGGCAAGAUAAAAGACCCAUCACAAUAUCUUUUGUCCAUCUCCUGUUUCUUCUUUCUCACUCCCAUGGCAGGCAACUUCCACUCAUCUACUUCACAAAUCCAAGACUAACGCUCUACAAUGUCUGCCUUCUUAUUUCGAUUAUUCCAAAAACAGUGGAUUGAAAGCCGACUCUAAUGCUCAGUGGAAGAGUAAGAACCGGAAAAUGAUGUUUAAAGGAUUGAUGGAAUUUCUAUUUUUGAGCUAAAGAAAUUAUGGACUUGAUCCCUUAAAGCAUAUUUUAUUAAAGGAACUUCCUGUUCUGCAUUUGCAGCAGUUAAAAAAAUUAGUGUACCCUUUUACCAGAAAAUAUUCAACUUAAAUUCCUAUACACUCCGUAUACCAAAUUCCUAUACACUCUAUAUACCAAGAAAUGCUGAAAAUAUUUUUUUCAUAAAAAAAAUGAAUCAAAAGUCUUAAUAGUUUUAUUUUAUACAAUUAUAUCUUGCUUCAUAAAAUGGUACGAUUAGUUGUUGGAUGUCUAACUAUAAUUGCAGGCAGUACUGCAGAGGACAGUGAAUGACUACAAAAGAUCUGGA
rnacentral:misc_RNA from 1 species